rnacentral:rRNA from 1 species
AAAUUGAAGAGUUUGAUCAUGGCUCAGAUUGAACGCUGGCGGCAGGCCUAACACAUGCAAGUCGAACGGUAACAGGAAGAAGCUUGCUUCUUUGCUGACGAGUGGCGGACGGGUGAGUAAUGUCUGGGAAGCUGCCUGAUGGAGGGGGAUAACUACUGGAAACGGUAGCUAAUACCGCAUAACGUCGCAAGACCAAAGAGGGGGACCUUCGGGCCUCUUGCCAUCGGAUGUGCCCAGAUGGGAUUAGCUUGUUGGUGGGGUAACGGCUCACCAAGGCGACGAUCCCUAGCUGGUCUGAGAGGAUGACCAGCCACACUGGAACUGAGACACGGUCCAGACUCCUACGGGAGGCAGCAGUGGGGAAUAUUGCACAAUGGGCGCAAGCCUGAUGCAGCCAUGCCGCGUGUAUGAAGAAGGCCUUCGGGUUGUAAAGUACUUUCAGCGGGGAGGAAGGGAGUAAAGUUAAUACCUUUGCUCAUUGACGUUACCCGCAGAAGAAGCACCGGCUAACUCCGUGCCAGCAGCCGCGGUAAUACGGAGGGUGCAAGCGUUAAUCGGAAUUACUGGGCGUAAAGCGCACGCAGGCGGUUUGUUAAGUCAGAUGUGAAAUCCCCGGGCUCAACCUGGGAACUGCAUCUGAUACUGGCAAGCUUGAGUCUCGUAGAGGGGGGUAGAAUUCCAGGUGUAGCGGUGAAAUGCGUAGAGAUCUGGAGGAAUACCGGUGGCGAAGGCGGCCCCCUGGACGAAGACUGACGCUCAGGUGCGAAAGCGUGGGGAGCAAACAGGAUUAGAUACCCUGGUAGUCCACGCCGUAAACGAUGUCGACUUGGAGGUUGUGCCCUUGAGGCGUGGCUUCCGGAGCUAACGCGUUAAGUCGACCGCCUGGGGAGUACGGCCGCAAGGUUAAAACUCAAAUGAAUUGACGGGGGCCCGCACAAGCGGUGGAGCAUGUGGUUUAAUUCGAUGCAACGCGAAGAACCUUACCUGGUCUUGACAUCCACAGAACUUUCCAGAGAUGGAUUGGUGCCUUCGGGAACUGUGAGACAGGUGCUGCAUGGCUGUCGUCAGCUCGUGUUGUGAAAUGUUGGGUUAAGUCCCGCAACGAGCGCAACCCUUAUCCUUUGUUGCCAGCGGUCCGGCCGGGAACUCAAAGGAGACUGCCAGUGAUAAACUGGAGGAAGGUGGGGAUGACGUCAAGUCAUCAUGGCCCUUACGACCAGGGCUACACACGUGCUACAAUGGCGCAUACAAAGAGAAGCGACCUCGCGAGAGCAAGCGGACCUCAUAAAGUGCGUCGUAGUCCGGAUUGGAGUCUGCAACUCGACUCCAUGAAGUCGGAAUCGCUAGUAAUCGUGGAUCAGAAUGCCACGGUGAAUACGUUCCCGGGCCUUGUACACACCGCCCGUCACACCAUGGGAGUGGGUUGCAAAAGAAGUAGGUAGCUUAACCUUCGGGAGGGCGCUUACCACUUUGUGAUUCAUGACUGGGGUGAAGUCGUAACAAGGUAACCGUAGGGGAACCUGCGGUUGGAUCACCUCCUUACCUUAAAGAAGC